rnacentral:rRNA from 1 species
UACGGAGGAUCCAAGCGUUAUCCGGAAUUACUGGGCGUAAAGAGUUGCGUAGGUGGCACUGUAAGUUGAUAGUGAAAGCGUUCGGCUCAACCGGAUACACAUUAUCAAAACUACAGAGCUAGAGGACAAGAGAGGUACCUGGAAUUCCUAGUGUAGGAGUGAAAUCCGUAGAUAUUAGGAGGAACACCGAUGGCGUAGGCAGGGUACUGGCUUGUUUCUGACACUAAGGCACGAAAGCGUGGGGAGCAAACGGG